GCCAGAAAAUAAACAAAAUGUCAGCCCAUUCUCACCUUCUUCCUCUUCUUGCGUCGUCAGUCUUCUCCGUGCCUUGCUUACACGGCGAUUUCAGAACCAUGUGUGUAACGCUUUUGGUCCUCAUUGAAUCCAUUCAUAACGCCUCUGCAUUAACUAUCUCCGUUCAACUCUGCUACAAAGUCGACUUUAAUGACCCCUUUCUCAACUUCCAUCUCAAAGCCCUAAUUCAUGAAACUAUAAAUAGAGAUGAAGACCGCACGAGAUUCAAUCAUAUUCCUUCCUUACAAUCACAGCCUGCAAGGAUGGUGUCAUCCCAUAUCCUUAUUUCUGAUUUAAAGUUUGGCCGUUGUCUCAGACGGUGGUGACGCCUCUCCAGCGUUUCUGGGGAGCACACAAUGUCAAGAAAGGAGGAGAGCUGAUGAGAGUCAACAUGUUCUUGAUGAAAAGUCAUCGCUCCUUCCAGGAUCUAUUUAUGUACAUCGGCUAGAUGCAUGCUUAAGUGGUGAAAGUUUAAUAGAGCUAAGCCAAGACUCGAGCUCCCAAUGGAAACUGAUGCUCCUGGGAUAUAUAAUGAAAUACCGGAUCUCACGAGAAGUUACAGAGUUUAAACACCAUCAUAUCUGUUGAGAUGUGCAAAGUUUCUCAGAAAUACAUCGAUCUCCAGAUUGCUAUACCUGCUCUCCUCCAAAAGGAGAGUACAGGUGCUUGCAAAAACAAAUUCAUGGGCAUUGAGAAAUUCAAAGGUUCUGAAAUCUGGGGAUAUACUGAACUUGAUUUCAAGUAGCCGUUUUGGGUAUUCUUGCGACAAAAAGGUAAAUGAAAUCCUCUUGAUGUUACGAGAAGCAACAUUCACUUCAAGCUCUCAGAUUCAUCCAUCUCCAUUCGCUUCACCAAUCUUACAAAGUUUGAUGAAAUUACCACUCCACCCACUGCUAUUCCCAUGGAGCUCUUUUGGUUCCAAAACUACAGACCGUUGAUAUCAUUGGCAAAUACAAAUACUCGGUUGCCGGAUUGAGAAAACUGUCAUUUUCAUGUUGGAACAACAAGGGUUGCUCGCAGGAAAACUAGCCACACUGAGGGAACGCAUGAUGAUGUACUUGCGCAGCCAAACAUAUCAAAAUUGUUCACCUACGAGAAUCAUACAGAGAUGUUGGAAGAGAUCUUCUACAGCUUCUGGUAUUCGUUGAGUUGAACGCCAUUGGUCUGCGCAAGAUAUUUAAGAAAUUUGGCAAACGCUUUGGUUAAAGAUUCGCCGACUACUACGUGUAAGCCCGUGUUUUUUUGACGUCCAAGCCAGCCAACUUCACGGCGGCGGUGGGUGUGGAGCCAGCAUUAACCCCAAAAUCGAAGACUGCAACAAUUAAAAGAAAAUGAUGACAUGAGAACGUUCAUCUAUACGGCUAUCGAUGCUGGACCAAAAGGCCACCUAGGCUUUCGCAAAGGUUGUAAGACAUUCACCUGUGUUUUAUAGAACCAAGGGGAAUGAUAUCAGACAAGAAUUAAAAAAGUAUAUAAUAGACAAGAAUAUGUAUUAUAGACUAACGUUCACCUUAAAC